rnacentral:rRNA from 1 species
ACGAACGCUGGCGGCAUGCCUAACACAUGCAAGUCGAACGAACCCUUCGGGGUUAGUGGCGCACGGGUGCGUAACGCGUGGGAAUCUGCCCUUUGCUUCGGAAUAACUCAGGGAAACUUGUGCUAAUACCGGAUGAUGUCUUCGGACCAAAGAUUUAUCGGCAAGGGAUGAGCCCGCGUAGGAUUAGGUAGUUGGUGGGGUAAAGGCCUACCAAGCCGACGAUCCUUAGCUGGUCUGAGAGGAUGAUCAGCCACACUGGGACUGAGACACGGCCCAGACUCCUACGGGAGGCAGCAGUGGGGAAUAUUGGACAAUGGGCGAAAGCCUGAUCCAGCAAUGCCGCGUGAGUGAUGAAGGCCCUCGGGUCGUAAAGCUCUUUUACCAGGGAUGAUAAUGACAGUACCUGGAGAAUAAGCUCCGGCUAACUCCGU